UACGUAGGGGGCUAGCGUUGUCCGGAUUUAUUGGGCGUAAAGAGCGUGUAGGCGGCCAGGUAGGUCUGCUGUGAAAACUCGAGGCUCAACCUCGAGACGUCGGCGGAAACCAUCUGGCUAGAGUCCGGAAGAGGAGAGUGGAAUUCCUGGUGUAGCGGUGAAAUGCGCAGAUAUCAGGAAGAACACCCGUGGCGAAGGCGGCUCUCUGGGCAAUAACUGACGCUGAGGAGCGAAAGCGUGGGGAGCGAACAGG
rnacentral:rRNA from 1 species